AGCUCCAAAAGUGUAUAUUUAAGUUGUUGCGGUUAAAAAGCUCGUAGUUGGAUUUUGGGCGCAGGCGGCCGGUCCGUCGCAAGGCGUGCACUGGCUGCACCUGGCCCUCAACCCCGGCGCUCCGCCGGUGCUCUUGACUGAGUGUCGGCGGCGGCCGGGACGUUUACUUUGAAAAAAUUAGAGUGUUCAAAGCAGGCGGCUCGCCUGAAUAAUGGUGCAUGGAAUAAUGGAAUAGGACCUCGGUUCUAUUUUGUUGGUUUUCGGAGCGCGAGGUAAUGAUUAAGAGGGACGGACGGGGGCAUUCGUACUGUGCCGUUAGAGGUGAAAUUCUUGGAUCGGCGCAAGACGAACGACUGCGAAAGCAUUUGCCAAGAAUGUUUUCUUUAAUCAAGAACGAAAG
rnacentral:rRNA from 1 species